GACGAAGGGAGCAAGCGUUGCUCGGAAUAAUUGGGCGUAAAGGGUGCGUAGGCGGUUCUUUAAGUAAAAUGUUAAAAGCUGGGACUUAAUCUCAGAGAUGCAUUUUAUACUGAAGAACUCGAGUGUGGGAGAGGAAAUAGGAAUUCCUCAUGUAGAGGUGAAAUUCGUAGAUAUGAGGAGGAACACCAGUGGCGAAGGCGGCUUUCUGGACGGUAACUGACGCUGAGACGCGAAAGCGUGGGGAGCAAACAGG
rnacentral:rRNA from 1 species